CGGCCUUAUCUGAUGUGACAUGGCGGACACCACCUUGAGAGCUACGCGGACACCCUGCCGAUGAUUAAUUCAAGCUCAGAAGACACGAAGAGGAUCGGCUCUCCGUGUUUACCCCUGCAGACGCCUCUCCUAAACUGAGGAUGACUCCCUGGCAUGACACACAGGCGUGUAAUAAGGCUGAAUCAUUCGCAGCGAAUGAUGUCGAUACUUCCUGAGCAGAUUCAAACAGCCACCGAGGUGAAUGACCAAUUAACGACAGCAUCUCAACAAACAAGAUGCUGGAUGUCUCGGGUUGACUGAGUUGCUGACGACAGCUGUAUGGGUGAGUUUCUUUUUGAUGUCCCGGAAGAUGAAGAGAGAUACAGAGAUGCCUG